UCUGGCUUUUGGCCAUAAACGUGUAGGCACUGCUCAUUAGUUUUUCUCGGCUGAAACUCCUUGAGACACAUUCAACAUUCAACACUCAACGCUACCCGACUGCGACAACAUUAUUCGCAUUCGCAUUACUCGUUCUCGCCCGGCUUGCAGUUGAGCAGUUAAUCAUUUCUGUCCCCCGUUCUCCAUGUCCACGGAGCAACUUCACCAUCGUAUUUAUACUGGUGUUGCAUUUUUUUGGCUCACGUUCGAUUCAAUUUCCAAAAAGGUGUCUUCCACUUGGCGCUCCUCCAGCUGCUCCCCGACCCACGGCCAUAAAGUUUGGAGCUCCGCACUUAUUGGCCAAAUUUACGGCCCAUUGCGAGAAUAUAAAAUGGAAACUGAGAAUAUUCGAUGAAUGGUUGAGAAAUUUAAAUUUUAUGGAUUAAUGCUAUUUAGUUUUGUCUGGAUUAUGCAUCAAU
ensembl:ncRNA lncRNA:CR46209 long non-coding RNA:CR46209